rnacentral:rRNA from 1 species
UACAGAGGUCUCAAGCGUUGUUCGGAUUCAUUGGGCGUAAAGAGCUCGUAGGCGGUGUGUCGCGUCGGCCGUGAAAACCUGGGGCUCAACUCUGGGCGUGCGGUCGAUACGGGCAUCACUUGAGUUCGGCAGGGGAGACUGGAAUUCCUGGUGUAGCGGUGAAAUGCGCAGAUAUCAGGAGGAACACCGGUGGCGAAGGCGGGUCUCUGGACCGAUACUGACGCUGAGGAGCGAAAGCAUGGGUAGCGAACCGG